rnacentral:tRNA from 1 species
GCAGUGAUGGUUCUGUUGUAGAAUUCUCACCUACCUUCUAUGCGGGAGACCUGGGUUCGAUUCCCAGCCAAUGCA